rnacentral:lncRNA from 1 species
UCGAAGAACUAACCAAGCGGGUUAUGCCGAAUCGUAGAAGAAACAGCAGCUCCAGCAGCUGAAGCCUCUGAAACUUCUGCCUUGUUGCUAUUGUUAUUACCUACUUCAAAGAGGAAACACAAUAAUGAGAAGCUAAUCUUGAUUUCUUGAUAGUUUGUCGAUAUGUAUAUAUUUAGGUGGAUACAACUUGCUGGAACUUUGUUCAAUAAUCAUUAACAGAUGCAAAAUCAUUAAAUCAAACUAAUAGGUAAAAAAGAAGGAGAAUAAAUUAAAUGCAAGAACUCCCCACAGCUGAUGCCGUCUAGCUAAGAAUUAAGCCUUUUCUUCAACAUUCGUAGAAACAUAUUUAGUUCACAGGCUUUCAGUUUUUAGCAGUCUCUUCUCAUCUUUAAAGCCCAUGAAUUGUACAGGAUAUACGUUCUUUAGUCCUGAGAAAUGAACUAAUAUAAUAAUAGAACAGUAGAACAUACACAACUUGUUGUGACCAUAUAAUUGAAACAGAAAACUUAAAAUGCAAAUGGGAUAAUCAUACAAUAAGAUUCAAUUACAAGGGAAGCAAGAAGAGGCUGUAGCUACAAAAUUAUUGAAUAAAUUUUGCUGUACAUUGAAUUUAAAUGGUUUAUCGGAAUAGCCAAGCAAAAAAUUCACAUUAAAGAGAGGAGAGAAAGUUAUUACCUUUGUUUAGCAUAGGGGCUCGGGGGACAACAAGAAUAAGAGGAAAAUUACAUAAAAGAAAGAAGAGAAACUUGUUGCUUUUCUUUAGCAUAGAGAAUCAGCGCACAAUAAGGAGAGUUAAAACGGUCGAAUACAAUUGAAAUUGAGAAGCAGCAAAACACAAACAGUAGUCAAGUAAUGCAUUGAACUUGAAAAAAGCUCACCAUUUAAACGUUCGAACAAAAUUUUCGUAAGCACGUGCCUCCUUCUCCUUCUUGUCGUUGUUGCUAGUGAGUGCUGAAGGGAGUCAAAACACUCGAAAUAGGCACAUAAAACUAUAUGUCAGUGACACCUUCUCUUUUGUUGCUGUUCAUUUUAAAGAACGGUGUAUCUACCUUUGCAUUCUCGAGUUUUUGUAUCGAUCCAUACUAUCAUUCUCCGAAUAUUAUUCCAAAAUCAUCGAGGUUAGAUGAAGAACAUGUUGAUUCCACCUAGUUUCAGACUUUUCCCAUUUGGAAUUGUUUUAUGGAAAAGAUUUAAACAAUUGAGCG